rfam:Gossypium arboreum cultivar AKA8401 contig_33152_1, whole genome shotgun sequence.
AAUCCAUGGUGAGGGCACCUUCUCAAAAAGAUCCUUGUAUCUCUCCCAUGCAUCAUAAAGUGUUUCGAGAUCCAUCUGCACAAAAGAAGAGAUGUCAUUCCUCAACUU